GGGCGCAGCCUGAUCCAGCCAUACCGCGGUGGGUGAAGAAGGCCUUCGGGUUUGUAAAGCCCUUUUGUUGGGAAAGAAAUCCAGCUGGUUAAUACCCGGUUGGGAUGACGGUACCCAAAGAAUAAGCACCGGCUAACUUCGUGCCAGCAGCCGCGGUAAUACGA
rnacentral:rRNA from 1 species